GCGGGAGUCGCCUAGCCUGGUCAAUGGCGCAAGGUAGCUAGCCUUGUGGCUUAGUGCCUUCGUGGGUUCGAAUCCCACCUCCCGCA
rnacentral:tRNA from 1 species